rnacentral:rRNA from 1 species
UACGAAGGGGGCUAGCGUUGUUCGGAAUCACUGGGCGUAAAGCGCACGUAGGCGGAUUGUUAAGUCGGGGGUGAAAUCCUGAGGCUCAACCUCAGAACUGCCUUCGAUACUGGCGAUCUUGAGUCCGGAAGAGGUUGGUGGAACAGCUAGUGUAGAAGUGAAAUUCGUAGAUAUUAGCUAGAACACCAGUGGCGAAGGCGGCCAACUGGUCCGGAACUGACGCUGAGGUGCGAAAGCGUGGGGAGCAAACAGG